rnacentral:sRNA from 2 species
UUAUAGCCCUGAUUGCAGCGGCAUCCUUUUUUGCAUUGCUCACAUUUUUCUUUUGAUCAAUAAACUUUCUUGCAAAAAAGAUAUAGCGGAAAGCAGGUUCCCGG